rnacentral:rRNA from 1 species
AUUGAACGCUGGCGGCAUGCCUUACACAUGCAAGUCGAACGGUAACAGGCCUUCGGGUGCUGACGAGUGGCGAACGGGUGAGUAAUGCAUCGGAACGUACCCAGAGGUGGGGGAUAACGCAGCGAAAGCUGUGCUAAUACCGCAUGCGAUCUGAGGAUGAAAGCGGGGGACCGAGCAGCAAUGUUUGGCCUCGCGCCUUUGGAGCGGCCGAUGUCGGAUUAGCUAGUUGGUGGGGUAAAGGCCUACCAAGGCGACGAUCCGUAGCUGGUCUGAGAGGACGACCAGCCACACUGGGACUGAGACACGGCCCAGACUCCUACGGGAGGCAGCAGUGGGGAAUUUUGGACAAUGGGCGCAAGCCUGAUCCAGCAAUGCCGCGUGCGGGAAGAAGGCCUUCGGGUUGUAAACCGCUUUUGGCAGGAACGAAACGGUGUCCGCUAAUACCGGGCGCUAAUGACGGUACCUGCAGAAUAAGCACCGGCUAACUACGUG